rnacentral:rRNA from 1 species
UACGUAGGUGGCAAGCGUUAUCCGGAAUUAUUGGGCGUAAAGCGCGCGCAGGCGGUUUCUUAAGUCUGAUGUGAAAGCCCACGGCUAACCGUGGAGGGUCAUUGGAAACUGGGGAACUUGAGUGCAGAAGAGAAAAGCGGAAUUCCACGUGUAGCGGUGAAAUGCGUAGAGAUGUGGAGGAACACCAGUGGCGAAGGCGGCUUUUUGGUCUGUAACUGACGCUGAGGCGCGAAAGCGUGGGGAGCAAACAGG